rnacentral:rRNA from 1 species
AUGACCAUAUUGCCAGAUAAGUUGGAUACUAGCUCUCUUAUGUUAGAUGACCAGUUUCUGCAUAUGCGUUGUGCUGCUCACAUAUUAAACCCGAUUGUGAAAGAUGGAAUGAGUGCCUUAGAGGAAGGUGUAGAGAGAGUAUGUGAUAGUGUUGCAUUUUGGUCGGCAACGCCUAAAAGGCAUGAAAAGUUUGAAAAGAUGGCAAAAAACAUUGAACAUAGAGUAUAA